UACGGAGGGAGCUAGCGUUGUUCGGAAUUACUGGGCGUAAAGCGCACGUAGGCGGCUAUUCAAGUCAGAGGUGAAAGCCCGGGGCUCAACCCCGGAACAGCCUUUGAAACUAGGUAGCUAGAAUCUUGGAGAGGUCAGUGGAAUUCCGAGUGUAGAGGUGAAAUUCGUAGAUAUUCGGAAGAACACCAGUGGCGAAGGCGACUGACUGGACAAGUAUUGACGCUGAGGUGCGAAAGCGUGGGGAGCAAACAGG
rnacentral:rRNA from 1 species